UACGGGGGGGGCAAGCGUUGUUCGGAAUUACUGGGCGUAAAGGGCUCGUAGGCGGCCAACUAAGUCAGACGUGAAAUCCCUCGGCUUAACCGGGGAACUGCGUCUGAUACUGGAUGGCUAGAGGUUGGGAGAGGGAUGCGGAAUUCCAGGUGUAGCGGUGAAAUGCGUAGAUAUCUGGAGGAACACCGGUGGCGAAGGCGGCAUCCUGGACCGGUAUUGACGCUGAGGCGCGAAAGCCAGGGGAGCAAACGGG
rnacentral:rRNA from 1 species